rnacentral:tRNA from 1 species
UGCGGGGGUUGCCAAGUCCGGUCAAAGGCGCAGGAUUCAGGGUCCUGUUUCGCAGGAAUUCGUGGGUUCAAAUCCCAUCCCCCGCAU